rnacentral:lncRNA from 1 species
AAAUAUUACAAGUCUUGGUUUUUAAAGAUUGUCAGUAUGAUGUAUUUAGACAGAGUCUAGUGAAGCUUGAUUCAGUAUUCUUUUCCCAAUCCUGAUAUCCUAUAAAUGAAAACUGUUCUUUUUAGUAUGCCAGUUUGUAUAGGUGUAUUUCUUUUUCUUUGAUUACACUAAGUGUCCUCCACAUUCCUCUGUGGGUAAGUUUGAGGCACUUGUAUAUCUCAAAGGCUUUAAAAGUAU